CCGCUGAAACUUGGAAAUAUUUAUUCUUGAAAAAGCAGAGCCAGUACAAGUUUACCAGGUCGCUCGGUCUUUUCGAUGAAAGCUGAUCUGGGAUUAAAUUGACACACACCUAGAUCGACAUGCCGAAUAACAAAGCAAUUUUGAGUCCAUUUCUUACUCCUCAACCAGACGGUUAUCGCAAUCCCUGCGCUGAGCUUCCCGUCAAAUCACAGCCAAAUCAAAAUACACCACUUUACACCUUCAGACUGAACAACAUCCCCUGUAUUUUGAAUACUCUGGUUGGUACUGAAGUCCAAUAACUGGUCGGAGCCCUACAUGGUUUAUGGCGACUACUCUUGAGAAAAAAUAUGCUUUAACUGAGAUUCAUCCAAGAGGGCUAAAGUAUGCUACAUUAUCACAUCUACUCGGUUAAAAUCCAUAAUAGAAGAUGACUCACAGUCGGUUCACAAGCAUCUGUACGAAAGCAGUGUAAGUGAAGAUUAGUGUCUAAAACUCAUUGAUGAAAUUACCAACGAACAAAGAACCUACAAAACGCGCUCAGAAAAUUAAAGCAUGUCUUCCUGCAUCCCACAUUUGCAAUCUUUUAUUUCACAAAUUGUAACUAGAUCUAUGGUAACCCUCUCACCUCAAAAAUUGCAGCUGUAUCUAAAGGAGCAAUACUGCCUCUAAAGCAAUAAUGUAUCUAACGGAGCACUAUGUUCUUCAUUUUCAACAUGUCAUAAGUCAUGGGAACAGUUGUAAAAUAUAAAACACUUAUAAUUCCGUCACUGCGUUGUCACCCUUGUCAUAAUCAUAUAAUUAAUCCUACCGCUUUUGUCCAGUGAUUGCUAGUGCAGCGUAGAAUAAGAUUUACUGGAUUUCUGAACUACAUUUUGCAAGUCGAAAUUCUGUUUGUAACCUCAUAUUUUCCUUAUUGUAUAUUGCCACAGUACUUCUCGUAAAAAGAAAGCAAACCCAUCCCCAAAGCAGCCCGUAACGAUUGAAAAGUAACAGACUACUUAAGUCAAGGUAGAACAUGUGCUAUCCCAAUUUGAAGUAGAAACACGUGUUUGCAGCCGUAACAAAAAUGAAAAAGAAACAGAUUCUUUUUUCCUUUAUGGUACACUAAUUCUUGAGAAUUCUUGAGUCAUGAAAUCAUUUCCCUUUUCUCCUUAGAAUUGGAUCCAAUUGCUGCUAGGGAUUUUUUUUACUGUAUAUCGAAACGAAGA